AGUACUCUACUCUGUGGAGUAGGAGAUGAGGUUUAGUGUAUUACAUUAUUCCUUGGAAAGCAUGUGUGAAAGGUCAACCUUUUGUGCGGUAGGAAUAGGUAGUAUUCUCCCACAUUAAUGGCUGGAAGCAACGAAUUUUUACAAGAA
rnacentral:misc_RNA from 1 species